GACGAACGCUGGCGGCGUGCUUAACACAUGCAAGUCGAACGGAAAGGCCCUGCUUGCAGGGUACUCUAGUGGCGAACGGGUGAGUAACACGCGGGUGAUCUGCCCUGCACUUCGGGAUAAGCCUGGGAAACUGGGUCUCAUAUCGGAUAGGAGCCAUUUUUAGUGUGAGGGUUGGAAAGUUUUUUCGGUGUAGGAUGAGCUCGCGCCCUAUCAGCUUGUUGGUGGGGUAAUGGCCUACCAAGGCGGCGACGGGUAGCCGGCCUGGGGGGGUGGACGGCCACAUUGAGACCGGGGGACGGGCCAGGCCCGUACGGGGGGCAGGAGCUGGGAAUAUUUCAACAAGGGCGCGAGCCUGAUGCAGCGACGCCGCCGGGGGGAUGACGGCCUUCGGGUUGGAAACCCCUUUCGCUAUGGACGAAGCUUUUUGUGACGGUACCUAGAUAAGAAGCACCGGCUAACUACGUG
rnacentral:rRNA from 1 species